rnacentral:rRNA from 1 species
UACGGGGGGAGCAAGCGUUGUUCGGAUUUACUGGGCGUAAAGGGCGCGUAGGCGGCGCAACAAGUCACUUGUGAAAUCUCCGGGCUUAACUCGGAGCGGUCAAGUGAUACUGUCGUGCUAGAGUGCGGGAAGGGGCUACUGGAAUUCUCGGUGUAGCGGUGAAAUGCGUAGAUAUCGAGAGGAACACCUGCGGCGAAGGCGGGUAGCUGGGCCGACACUGACGCUGAUGCGCGAAAGCCAGGGAGCGAACGGG